rnacentral:rRNA from 1 species
CCUGGUUGAUCCUGCCAGUAGUCAUAUGCUUGUCUCAAAGAUUAAGCCAUGCAUGUCUAAGUUCAACGUUGUUGACUUGAAGACUGUGGAUAGCUCAUUAAAACAGUUAUUGUUUAUUUGAUGGUUGAAUACCAAAUGGAUAACUUUGGUAAUUCUAGAGCUAAUACAUGACGAAAAUCGUUCGAAAGAACGAUGUGUUUAUUAGAUACCAACCAAACUGUUUCGGCAGGACUGGUGACUCAUAGUAAACGAUCGAAUCGCAGGGUGUACGCCAGGCGAUGCAUCAUUCAAGUUUCUGACCUAUCAGCUUCCGACGGUAAGGUAUUGGCUUACCGUGGCAGUGACGGGUAACGGGGAAUUAGGGUUUGAUUCCGGAGAGGGAGCCUGAGAAAUGGCUACCACAUCUAAGGAAGGCAGCAGGCGCGUAAAUUACCCAAUUCUGACACAGAGAGGUAGUGACAAGAAAUAACAAUACAGCAUACUUCGUAUUCUGUAAUUGGAAUGAGUGCAAGGUAAAACUUUGCUCGAGUAUCAAUUGGAGGGCAAGUCUGGUGCCAGCAGCCGCGGUAAUUCCAGCUCCAAUAGCGUAUAUUAAAGUUGUUGCAGUUAAAAAGCUCGUAGCUGGGUUUUUGGUCAAUCACCGAUGCUUCCUUUACAGGCCGCAGGAGAAGAUUGUCCAAUUUAUUGCGACGAGCCACUCUAUGAGUGGUCUUGCAGCAAUACUAUUACUUUGAGUAAACUAGAGUGUUCCUAGCAAGCUAUUGCCUUGAAUACUGCAGCAUGGAAUGAUAAGACAACUAUUGCAGCGCUUAUUGGUUGACGUGCAAUUGUGAUGCUUGAUAGGAACAGCUGGGGCCAUUCGUAUUCAACAGUCAGAGGUGAAAUUCUUAGAUUUGUUGAAGACGAACUAAUGCGAAAGCAUUUGGCAAGAAUGUUUUCAUUAGUCAAGAACGAAAGUUAGGGGAUCGAAGACGAUCAGAUACCGUCGUAGUCUUAACCGUAAACUAUGCCAACUAGAGAUUGGAGGUUGUUAUAAACUGACACCUUCAGAACCUUAUGGGAAACCAAAGUCUUUGGGUUCUGGGGGGAGUAUGGUCGCAAGGCUGAAACUUAAAGGAAUUGACGGAAGGGCACCACCAGGAGUGGAGCCUGCGGCUUAAUUUGACUCAACACGGGGAAACUCACCAGGUC